UCAGACGAUGCGUCAUGCAUAUCAAUAAGCGGAGGAAAAGAAACUAACAAGGAUUCCCCUAGUAACGGCGAGUGAAGCGGGAAGAGCUCAAAUUUGAAAUCUUAAAGGGUUUCCCUUUACGAAUUGUAGUUUAAAGAAGUGUUUUCUGCUGAGGUUUUGGUAAAAGUUCUUUGGAAUAGGACAUCAUAGAGGGUGAGAAUCCCGUAUUUGACCUUUACUUUCAACUUUGUGAUACACUUUCAAAGAGUCGGAUUGUUUGGGAAUGCAGUCCAAAAUGGGUGGUAAAUUUCAUCUAAAGCUAAAUAUUGGCGAGAGACCGAUAGCGAACAAGUACCGUGAGGGAAAGAUGAAAAGAACUUUGAAAAGAGAGUUAAACAGUACGUGAAAUUGUCAAAAGGGAAGCGUUUGACACCAGUGUUGUUUUUCUGAAAAUCAAUUAAAGAACUGUUUAUGCUAAGUUGUUUAGACUUUAUCAGCUAACUGUUUAGUUUUGAGCUUUUCUUUAAUGCACUUUUCAGUUAACAAGUCAACAUCAAUUUCUUUUGCUGUAAAAAAGCUUGAGGAAGGUGGCUUGAGAUUCGUCUUAAGUGUUUAUAGCCUCUUGCCUAUGCAGUCGGAGAGAUUGAGGUCUGCAGCGUAGAUCCUUCGGGGCUAAAUGCAUUUGUGCUAAGUUAUAGCAUUUUAUAGACAACUUGUUGACUAUGAUUUGUCUUGUAGCUUACUCGCUUAUGUUAUUUUACCUACGCUUAGGAUGUUGAGCGCAUGUCUCUCUCU
rnacentral:rRNA from 1 species